ensembl:snRNA U6 U6 spliceosomal RNA
GUGCUCACCUCAGCAGCACAUAUACUAAAAUGGGAACAAUACAGAGAAGAUGAGCAAGGAUGAUAUGCAAAUUCAUGAAGCAUUCCAUUUUUUU